CAAGCUGCCGGGCCGCUGCUGCCUUUCCUGGGAGGAUUGCAACAGGUCGAGGAGGGAGGAUGGGGCGCCAGGCCCGAGGGCAAGACCAGCGAGACCCUGCGGGUACAAGGUGGAGGUGGGCAAUUAUCCAGUACAUAAGAACAGAAAUUGGACAUACAUCUGCUUCACAAAUGAAUGUGCAUGGGAUCACAUACAUAAUGCUUUGUUUAUUUGUUUAGCUCUAGUAGAGCACAACUCGGCUCUGGCUGACAGUGGUGCUGGGGCCUGAACCUGGGACUUCAGAGCCACAGACUAUGUCCAGAGACUUCAGGUGUGGAAUGACAACCCUUCAGCUUCAUCACUCCACCACCAGGUUCCAGAUGCCAGCAUGAUGCCGACCAGACUUCGCUGGACUGAAGACUACACCAAUGUGUCCUGGAGCUCAGCUUUCCCAGAGACCCACCCUACUAGGGAAAGAGAGAGGCAGACUGGGAGUAUGGAUUGACCAGUCAAUGCCCAUGUUCCUUGGGGAAGCAAUUACAGAAGCCAGACCUCCCACUUUCUACAACCCACAAUGACCCUGGAUCCAUACUCCCAGAGAGACAGAGAAUGGGAAAGCUAUCAGGGGAGGGGAUGGGAUAUGGAGAUUGGGUUGUGGGAAUUGUGUGGAGCUGUACCCCUCUUAUCCUAUGGUUUUGUUAAUGUCUCCUUUCUUAAAUAAAUAAAUAAAUAAAUAAAAAGAAUUUUGUCUGAGAAAGUGUGGUCAGAGUAGA